rnacentral:lncRNA from 1 species
AUCGUAUACAAAUAAAUACAAUACAAUGUGGUAAAAAUCUCAGCAUCCAUAACUUUAAAAAUGGUAUAAAUUAUAUCGUUUAAAAAUUGCAAGAAGAAAACUGUUGCAAACAUUUGCAGUCACAUGACCUGAAAGGACCUUUGAAGAUACAACUUUUGGAAUCUUAGUCUCCAUUUUGAAUAUAUACUUUUGCUGUUACAACCAGUAGAAGAGAAUUUCCACCAACUUAUACAGUAUUAUUUUUCCAGGUGACUGAGCAUUGAAAGAACUUUACUCAUAAAUGGGUUGUCAACACUAGCAUGGAGUGUCUUAGGCAGCAGUAAGUUCACCAUUCUUGGGUAUUUAAACAGAAGAUGGAUGAACAUCUGAAAGGAAUCCCGUAAUGAGGUUUUGGCAUUGCUCAACAGAUUAACUUUUAACACUCUUCCAUCUUUGAUCUUUUUUACAUUCCAACUUCAG